rnacentral:rRNA from 1 species
GAUGAACGUUGGCGGCGUGCCUAAUACAUGCAAGUCGAGCGAACAGACGAGGAGCUUGCUCCUCUGACGUUAGCGGCGGACGGGUGAGUAACACGUGGAUAACCUACCUAUAAGACUGGGAUAACUUCGGGAAACCGGAGCUAAUACCGGAUAAUAUAUUGAACCGCAUGGUUCAAUAGUGAAAUACGGUUUUGCUGUCACUUAUAGAUGGAUCCGCGCCGCAUUAGCUAGUUGGGACGGUAACGGCUUACCAAGGCAACGAUGCGUAGCCGACCUGAGAGGGUGAUCGGCCACACUGGAACUGAGACACGGUCCAGACUCCUACGGGAGGCAGCAGUAGGGAAUCUUCCGCAAUGGGCGAAAGCCUGACGGAGCAACGCCGCGUGAGUGAUGAAGGUCUUCGGAUCGUAAAACUCUGUUAUUAGGGAAGAACAAAUGUGUAAGUAACUAUGCACGUCUUGACGGUACCUAAUCAGAAAGCCCCGGCUAACUACGUG